GGAGGGGUGGCUGAGUGGUCGAAAGCGGCACACUGCUAACGUGUUAUACCCCGUAAGGGGUAUCGCGGGUUCGAAUCCCGCCCCCUCCG
rnacentral:tRNA from 1 species